GACGAACGCUGGCGGCGUGCUUAACACAUGCAAGUCGAACGGAAAGGCCCUGCUUGCAGGGUACUCGAGUGGCGAACGGGUGAGUAACACGUGGGUGAUCUGCCCUGCACUUCGGGAUAAGCCUGGGAAACUGGGUCUAAUACCGGAUAGGAGCCAUUUUUAGUGUGAUGGUUGGAAAGUUUUUUUCGGUGUAGGAUGAGCUCGCGGCCUAUCAGCUUGUUGGUGGGGUAAUGGCCUACCAAGGCGGCGACGGGUAGCCGGCCUGAGAGGGUGGACGGCCACAUUGGGACUGAGAUACGGCCCAGACUCCUACGGGAGGCAGCAGUGGGGAAUAUUGAACAAUGGGCGCAAGCCUGAUGCAGCGACGCCGCGUGGGGGAUGACGGCCUUCGGGUUGUAAACUCCUUUCGCUAGGGACGAAGCUUUUUGUGACGGUACCUAGAGAAGAAGCACCGGCUAACUACGUG
rnacentral:rRNA from 1 species